GAUGAACGCUAGCGGGAGGCUUAACACAUGCAAGUCGAGGGGCAGCAUAGGGUAGCAAUACUCUGAUGGCGGCCGGCAAACGGGUGAGUAACGCGUAUGCAACCUACCCUGUACAGGGGGAUAACCCGGAGAAAUUCGGACUAAUAUCCCGUAAUAAUAUCCGGAGGCAUCUUUGGAUAUUUAAAGUUCCGACGGUACGGGAUGGGCAUGCGUAACAUUAGCUGGUUGGUAAGGUAACGGCUUACCAAGGCUAUGAUGUUUAGGGGUCCUGAGAGGGUGGUCCCCCACACUGGUACUGAGACACGGACCAGACUCCUACGGGAGGCAGCAGUGAGGAAUAUUGGUCAAUGGGCGCAAGCCUGAACCAGCCAUCCCGCGUGCAGGAAGACGGCCCUAUGGGUUGUAAACUGCUUUUCCAGGGAGAGAAACUUACGCACGUGUUGCGUGACUGACGGUACCCUGGGAAUAAGCAUCGGCUAACUCCGUGCCAGCAGCCGCGGUAAUCGACGAGAGUA
rnacentral:rRNA from 1 species